GGCUCAUAACCUGAAGGUCACAGGUUCAAAUCCUGUCCCCGCAA
rnacentral:tRNA from 1 species